ensembl:snoRNA
AUCCUUUAGUAGUUCAUAAACGUCAUGAUGGGUUUUUAUACUCACACGUGACAGGCCUCUCUCAAACCUUGUUAUAUCUGCAAUGUCAACACAUUACCCAUCUGACA